UUAAGGUCUAGGUUUAAGUUUAUAUUAUAAGUAUAGGUUGUAAGUUUAGGUUAAGGUUAUAAGUAAAGGUUAUAGGUUAUGGUUAAGGUUUUGGUUUAGGGUUAGGGUUAGGUUAUAGGCUAUAGCUUUAGGGAAUUGAGAAUGGGUUUCGGUUAUAGGUUUGGGGUUACAGGUUUAGGUUAAGGGUGUGGUACCUGCAAAUAAAGAUAUAAACACGGCCUGUCCAAAUGGUCAGGCCCCUCCAAUGUUGUCCAUAGGAAAUGGACAGCUUCAUCAUGGUCAUAACAGCGGUUCCCACCUUCCAGGGACCCCCGCUCAUCCGGAUAGCUCCGACGCACAUCCGGGUCUGCUCCAUUAA